AUUCUGCUCUGCAAUAGGAAGGAAAGAGGGGGGGCUGCACAUUAACAGCCAGGCAGAAGUUAGCACCUUAAAACCGCCAGCCAGGAAGAAUAGCUCACUUAUAAGGAAAAAAAACCCUAAACCGGCACACUUUGCAAGUCACCUGUGACCGUGUGUGUGUGUGUGUGUGUGUGUGUGUGAAAAAACAACGUAAAACCCAAAUAACCAUUCAAAAUGAUCUGUUGUGCAUGCAUGAUUAGGGGAAGGGCAAAGGGUUGAAGGCGACCAUCCCUUGACUAUAAAAACUGCUGGAAGACUCUAGUCUUGGCCCUUGGUUAGCUUUUCAAACCGGGCUCCUUAGAUCUGGCUACCAAAGUAAAAGUAUGAUUCUGUAUCACAUCUUGUGUCCGUUGACUUAUCUGCUUCGACACUUAAGCAAGAGCCCAGUUUUGGGGACAACAAAACCAAGAUGGAUUUUAUUCAAGCUCAAGGCAGUGAACAUAUCUAAGAUUUCUUCAUCCCCAAGAGAACAACCUUGUGAAGGCUGAGAGAAGGACUGGAUCAAGGUCACUCACUGGGCUUUCAUGGUUGAGAUGGGACUCGUAGUUAAGGCAACAAUGAAAAGGAAGUAGACAACAGAAGCCUUGAGCUGAAAGGGACCUUGUCAGCAACAAGGAAGAAAUGGUCGUACAGCCAAUAUCCUUGGAUGAUCUCUCAGCGACCACUGAUGGUCCCAACUUCCAGGUUGAUGAACUGAGAGA